rnacentral:rRNA from 1 species
AUUGAACGCUGGCGGCAGGCCUAACACAUGCAAGUCGAGCGGUAGCACAGAGAGCUUGCUCUCGGGUGACGAGCGGCGGACGGGUGAGUAAUGUCUGGGAAACUGCCUGAUGGAGGGGGAUAACUACUGGAAACGGUAGCUAAUACCGCAUAACGUCGCAAGACCAAAGUGGGGGACCUUCGGGCCUCAUGCCAUCAGAUGUGCCCAGAUGGGAUUAGCUAGUAGGUGGGGUAACGGCUCACCUAGGCGACGAUCCCUAGCUGGUCUGAGAGGAUGACCAGCCACACUGGAACUGAGACACGGUCCAGACUCCUACGGGAGGCAGCAGUGGGGAAUAUUGCACAAUGGGCGCAAGCCUGAUGCAGCCAUGCCGCGUGUGUGAAGAAGGCCUUCGGGUUGUAAAGCACUUUCAGCGGGGAGGAAGGCGGUGAGGUUAAUAACCUCAUCGAUUGACGUUACCCGCAGAAGAAGCACCGGCUAACUCCGUGCCAGCAGCCGCGGUAAUACGGAGGGUGCAAGCGUUAAUCGGAAUUACUGGGCGUAAAGCGCACGCAGGCGGUCUGUCAAGUCGGAUGUGAAAUCCCCGGGCUCAACCUGGGAACUGCAUUCGAAACUGGCAGGCUAGAGUCUUGUAGAGGGGGGUAGAAUUCCAGGUGUAGCGGUGAAAUGCGUAGAGAUCUGGAGGAAUACCGGUGGCGAAGGCGGCCCCCUGGACAAAGACUGACGCUCAGGUGCGAAAGCGUGGGGAGCAAACAGGAUUAGAUACCCUGGUAGUCCACGCCGUAAACGAUGUCGAUUUGGAGGUUGUGCCCUUGAGGCGUGGCUUCCGGAGCUAACGCGUUAAAUCGACCGCCUGGGGAGUACGGCCGCAAGGUUAAAACUCAAAUGAAUUGACGGGGGCCCGCACAAGCGGUGGAGCAUGUGGUUUAAUUCGAUGCAACGCGAAGAACCUUACCUGGUCUUGACAUCCACAGAACUUUCCAGAGAUGGAUUGGUGCCUUCGGGAACUGUGAGACAGGUGCUGCAUGGCUGUCGUCAGCUCGUGUUGUGAAAUGUUGGGUUAAGUCCCGCAACGAGCGCAACCCUUAUCCUUUGUUGCCAGCGGUUAGGCCGGGAACUCAAAGGAGACUGCCAGUGAUAAACUGGAGGAAGGUGGGGAUGACGUCAAGUCAUCAUGGCCCUUACGACCAGGGCUACACACGUGCUACAAUGGCAUAUACAAAGAGAAGCGACCUCGCGAGAGCAAGCGGACCUCAUAAAGUAUGUCGUAGUCCGGAUUGGAGUCUGCAACUCGACUCCAUGAAGUCGGAAUCGCUAGUAAUCGUGGAUCAGAAUGCUACGGUGAAUACGUUCCCGGGCCU